UACGGAAGGCAGCAGUGGGGAAUAUUGCACAAUGGGCGAAAGCCUGAUGCAGCUAUGCCGCGUGUAUGAAGAAGGCCUUAGGGUUGUAAAGUACUUUCAUCGGGGAGGAAAAAAACAAAACUAAUAAUUUUAUUUCUUGACGUUACCCGAAAAAGAAGCACCGGCUAACUCCGUGCCAGCAGCCGCGGUAAUACGGAGGGUGCUAGCGUUAAUCAGAAUUACUGGGCGUAAAGAGCACGUAGGUGGUUUUUUUAAGUCAGAUGUGAAAUCCCUGGGCUUAACCUAGGAACUGCAUUUUGAAACUGAAAUACUAGAGUAUCGUAGAGGGAGGUAGAAUUCUAGGUGUAGCGGUGAAAUGCGUAGAUAUCUGGAGGAAUACCUGUGGCGAAAGCGGCCUCCUAAACGAAUACUGACACUGAGGUGCGAAAAGCGUGGGGAGCAAACAGGGAUUAGAUACC
rnacentral:rRNA from 1 species